rnacentral:rRNA from 1 species
GUGAGGAAUUUUGCGCAAUGGGGGAAACCCUGACGCAGCAACGCCGCGUGAGUGAUGAAGGCCUUCGGGUUGUAAAGCUCUUUUAGUGGGGACGAAAUGCAGGGGCCCAACAAGUCCCUGUGCUGACGGUACCCACAGAAAAAGUUCCGGCUAACUACGUGCCAGCAGCCGCGGUAAUACGUAGGGAGCAAGCGUUGUUCGGAAUUAUUGGGCGUAAAGAGCGCGUAGGCUGUUCUGUAAGUCCGGUGUGAAAUCCCACGGCUUAACCGUGGAACUGCAUUGGAUACUGCAGGGCUGGAGUGUGGGAGAGGAGAGUGGAAUUCCCAGUGUAGAGGUGAAAUUCGUAGAUAUUGGGAGGAACACCGGUGGCGAAGGCGGCUCUCUGGACCACAACUGACGCUGAGGCGCGAAAGCUAGGGGAGCAAACGGGAUUAGAUACCCCAGUAGUCC